GACGAGCCGUCCUAACGUUGUUCGGAAUCACUGGGCUUAAAGGGCGCGUAGGCGGGUCAGCAAGUCCGGGGUGAAAUCUUUCGGCUCAACCGGAAAAUAGCCUUGGAUACUGCUGGUCUCGAGGGAGGUAGGGGCCUGUGGAACUUCCGGUGGAGCGGUGAAAUGCGUUGAUAUCGGAAGGAACGCCGGUGGCGAAAGCGACGGGCUGGACCUCUUCUGACGCUGAGGCGCGAAAGCUAGGGGAGCAAACGGG
rnacentral:rRNA from 1 species